rnacentral:rRNA from 1 species
AUUGAACGCUGGCGGCAUGCCUUACACAUGCAAGUCGAACGGCAGCACGGGAGCGAUCCUGGUGGCGAGUGGCGAACGGGUGAGUAAAGUAUCGGAACGUGCCCAGUCGUGGGGGAUAACGUAGCGAAAGUUACGCUAAUACCGCAUACGAUCUAUGGAUGAAAGCGGGGGAUCGCAAGACCUCGCGCGAUUGGAGCGGCCGAGAUCAGAUUAGGUAGUUGGUGGGGUAAAGGCUCACCAAGCCGACGAUCUGUAGCUGGUCUGAGAGGACGACCAGCCACACUGGGACUGAGACACGGCCCAGACUCCUACGGGAGGCAGCAGUGGGGAAUAUUGCACAAUGGGCGCAAGCCUGAUGCAGCCAUGCCGCGUGUAUGAAGAAGGCCUUCGGGUUGUAAAGUACUUUCAGCGGGGAGGAAGGCGAUGCGGUUAAUAACCGCGUCGAUUGACGUUACCCGCAGAAGAAGCACCGGCUAACUCCGUGCCAGCCGCCGCCGUAA